AGAUCGAUUUUCUCCUGCCUGCCUGAUUUCCCGGUGAUUUGUGAGUGCCCUGCAGCAUCACCUUCUUGCCAUUUGCUGAUUCUUUCAACUUGACGCCGGAAACUCCUCGCUACUCUUUCCCUCCAUAUCAAUCCAUCCUGGUUAAUACAUGCAGAACACAAGAGGAUAAUAUCAGGGUCAUCGCCAAUAGAUCAAAUGUUCCGCAGAUGCAGCGGUAUGCCACUUCGUCGUUCUCGUUAUGCCACCAAUUUCUUUGCGCAAAGAAAAGGUUAAAAAUACUUCAUUUUAGAUAGAAUCAAAUGCAAGAGCAGAUCUAUCCAUCCAUCUAUCUAUCUAUAUAUCUAUCUAUCUAUCCAUACAUACAUACAUACAUACACAUGUGUGCUUGUGUCUGGAGCAGCGCUAAGAUCAAAUACCUGCAUGAUGCUAUUUUCUUGUGGCGGGCACUGAACUGGCUUGUCAAUCUCUUUAGGCUCUGCUGGAUGUUCAACUGGUUCGAAGGCUUCCAAGGGCGGCACACCAUGUAGUGCAGCGGCAGGGCUGAUUCUCUUCCCGCCUACACCUUCCACCUGCAGAUCACCAACAAAACAAAAAAGCACUUGUCGUAAAUAUUGAUUCUUUUCUCAUAGCACCAAAUCCCCUUUUAAGGAAAGAUCGGGCUUUUCUAGGAUAACACCUGCUACAUGUGCACAAGUUAAAAGUCUCACAGAAGUGCGCCAAUCACAAUUUGCUACAAAAUCCACAUACAGAAACAUCUGUACAUCAGAAUGCGCAGGGUAUGGGAAGCGGGAGGUAAAUCUACGCAC
rnacentral:lncRNA from 1 species